rnacentral:tRNA from 1 species
GAGGGUAUAGCUCAGUGAUAGAGCACAUCCUUAGCAUGCACGAGGCCCUAGGUUCAAUCCCCAGUAUCUUCA